ACGCUGGCGGCAGGCCUAACACAUGCAAGUCGAGCGCGCCUUCGGGCGAGCGGCGGACGGGUUAGUAACGCGUGGGAACGUGCCCAGAUCUACGGAAUAGCCACUGGAAACGGUGAGUAAUACCGUAUACGCCCUUCGGGGGAAAGAUUUAUCGGAUUUGGAUCGGCCCGCGUUAGAUUAGGUAGUUGGUGGGGUAACGGCCUACCAAGCCUACGAUCUAUAGCUGGUUUUAGAGGAUGAUCAGCAACACUGGGACUGAGACACGGCCCAGACUCCUACGGGAGGCAGCAGUGGGGAAUCUUGGACAAUGGGGGCAACCCUGAUCCAGCCAUGCCGCGUGAGUGAAGAAGGCCCUAGGGUCGUAAAACUCUUUCGCCUGUGAUGAUAAUGACAGUAGCAGGUAAAGAAACCCCGGCUAACUCCGUGCCAGCAGCCGCGGUAAUACGGAGGGGGUUAGCGUUGUUCGGAAUUACUGGGCGUAAAGCGCACGUAGGCGGAUUAGAAAGUUAGAGGUGAAAUCCCGGGGCUCAACCCCGGAACUGCCUUUAAAACUACUAGUCUAGAGUUCGAGAGAGGUGAGUGGAAUUCCGAGUGUAGAGGUGAAAUUCGUAGAUAUUCGGAGGAACACCAGUGGCGAAGGCGGCUCACUGGCUCGAUACUGACGCUGAGGUGCGAAAGUGUGGGGAGCAAACAGGAUUAGAUACCCUGGUAGUCCACACCGUAAACGAUGAAUGCCAGUCGUCGGGUAGUAUACUAUUCGGUGACACACCUAACGGAUUAAGCAUUCCGCCUGGGGAGUACG
rnacentral:rRNA from 1 species